CAGUCGCCGCGGUAAUACGAAGGGGGCUAGCGUUGUUCGGAUUAACUGGGCGUAAAGGGCGCGUAGGCGGGUUUUUAAGUCAGAGGUGAAAUCCCAAGGCUCAACCUUGGAACUGCCUUUGAUACUGGAAGUCUUGAGUCCGGGAGAGGUGAGUGGAACUGCGAGUGUAGAGGUGAAAUUCGUAGAUAUUCGCAAGAACACCAGUGGCGAAGGCGGCUCACUGGCCCGGUACUGACGCUGAGGCGCGAAAGCGUGGGGAGCAAACAGGAUUAGAUACCCCUGUAGUCCCUGUCUCUUAUAC
rnacentral:rRNA from 1 species